GACUUUAUCCCAACCCACAAGAUGGAGCUUAACUUCUUCCUCCAUGCCUCCCCACAGAAAAUUGCAAAAGAUUUGCUCCAUACGAGAAGCCACACUUACAGGUAAUGGAAAAAGGGAUAAGAAAUAAGUACAGAGUAUUGAAAGAGUGCUCUUUAUAAGAGUAAUCCUACCCCCUUUAG